rnacentral:rRNA from 1 species
CACGUAGGGCGCGAGCGUUGUCCGGAAUUAUUGGGCGUAAAGAGCUCGUAGGUGGUUUGUCGCGUUGUUCGUGAAAACUCACAGCUCAACUGUGGGCGUGCGGGCGAUACGGGCAGACUAGAGUACUGCAGGGGAGACUGGAAUUCCUGGUGUAGCGGUGGAAUGCGCAGAUAUCAGGAGGAACACCGAUGGCGAAGGCAGGUCUCUGGGCCGAUACUGACGCUGAGGAGCGAAAGCAUGGGUAGCGAACAGG